rnacentral:rRNA from 1 species
GACGAACGCUGGCGGCGUGCUUAACACAUGCAAGUCGAACGGUGAAGGGGUCUGCUUUUGUGGGCCCUGGAUGAGUGGCGAACGGGUGAGUAACACGUGAGUAACCUGCCCCCUUCUUCUGGAUAACCGCAUGAAAGUGUGGCUAAUACGGGAUAUUCUGGGUCUGUCGCAUGAUGGGUCUGGGAAAGAUUGCGCCUUUGGGUGUUUUUGGUGGGGGAUGGGCUCGCGGCCUAUCAGCUUGUUGGUGGGGUGAUGGCCUACCAAGGCGGUGACGGGUAGCCGGCCUGAGAGGGUGGACGGUCACACUGGGACUGAGACACGGCCCAGACUCGUACGGGAGGCAGCAGUGGGGAAUAUUGCACAAUGGGGGCAAGCCUGAUGCAGCGACGCCGCGUGAGGGAUGGAGGCCUUCGGGUUGUAAACCUCUUUCGCCAGUGAAGCAGGCCUGCUCCUUGUGGGUGGGUUGACGGUAGCUGGAUAAGAAGCGCCGGCUAACUACGUG